ACCGAGAGAAGCAUCGCCCACCCCCACCCGGCAGGUGCUGCCUCCGGGACUCCCGAAGCUGGAAGGUCCUGGUCUAAGAAUGCCACCUGAAGGAUCAGGUCCCUCUAGCCCUAAGAUCAAGUCAGUGUAAAGAUCCACUGGUCUGGUGUGGGCCACACCGAAGGCAGGCUUUGCCAACACGUUCCUCUUAUUUGGGUUUCAAUUUUGUACCAGUUUCUCUUGUUUGCUCUCCAGUAGGGGUUUUUGCUGCCGAGGAAAGAGUCUUUAAAAGAAUAAAUAUGGACAAGGUCACAUAAGAAAAUAAAGCACAUUACACUCUCAUUUCUCUAUUGUGAAAAAUGCCACGAAAUCGACCGCAGUUAAUCAGAAAGGAAAUAAGAGUCUUCGGGGCCGUACAAAUAAUGACUGCCCUGAUGGUUCACACCCUGGGAGUUCUCUGGUCGUACUUGAUAUCCUUACAUAUUAUGGCAUUUGGAAAAACUUAUGUUCCUUUUACAUCAACGAUAGGAUACCCAUAUUGGUCAUCCUGGUUUUUUACCUUCUCAGGAAUAUUUGCAAUAGUGGUAGAGAAGAGUUCUUCAAGUUCCUUGAUGUGCUAUACUACAUAUCUGAACAUCACAAGUUUCUGUGUUGCAUUGGUUGGUAUGAUAGCAAUAACAUUUGAGUUAGCAGCACAGAGGGCGAGUAGACAUGUUCCUAUUUGGCCACAUACGGCUGGUAAACUCCUUACAGAAUACUUGGGCAUAUUCACCAUCUUAGAGUUGUUUGCAGCAUUUGUAGUGGUCCACUGGGUAAGGAAAGCAAGACAUGGAGGAUAAUAAAGAUGCAAAAAGGAGUCUAUUCAUCCUCUAUAAUUUCUAUACCACAUAUCUUAGCUAAAAUGCCAAGAAGAUAUAAGCUAAGAGAGGACACCAAAGCAAUGGGGGUGUGCAGCUAUUGAGCUGGUAUAUGCUUCUUCUUCAUCCCUGUUGAUAAAGAUCACCAGAAGCAGUUUUCUUUCAGCUGGCAAGGACAGCAGUACACCUGCACUGCCCUACCUGAGGGGUAUAUCACCUCUUCAGCCGUGUGUCAUCAUUUACUCCACGGGGAUCUUGAUUACUUUUGUCCUCCGCAAGGCCGCGCAAAUAAUGAUCGGCCUGAUUCAGGGUGCCCUGGGGAUUCUCUGGAUACAUAUGUAUCUCCUAGAAGAGAAAGAAAGUUCUGCCGGUCCCAUCUCUGUAAUUGUCAUAAUAAUUUACUCAGCUUUGUCAGGAGUUUUUUUCAUCAUCUCAGGAUCCUGCAGUACAAUACAGAAGCCUCACAUACUAUGUAAGAUUAUUUCAGCAAUUGUAAUGAACAGCAUAAGUACAGCUGUGACUGUAAUUGGGAUCGUUUUCUUAUGCGUUGAGAUUUCAUUUUAUGAAGCAGAAGCAACUGCAUACACUUGGCAGAACAUGACUUGUUUGAUGCUUUUACAAUAUUUAUUAUUCUGCACCAUCGCAGAGAUGGUCAUUGCAGUCAUAAGUAUCGACUGGCUUAGACUAGCAUUACGCAAGGAACAACCCACUGAAGAAAGCUCCUUAACCUCGGAAAUUUCAACACUAGAACCCACGGAAGCCCCACCACCAGAAUCCAACCCUCAGAAUUUGAAAACAGCCACAGAGACUCCAGUCAAGGAUGAAAGAAACGUUGUGAAUCAGUGAAGAACUCUGUAAUUUUUUUUUCAAGAGGCCUCAUGGAAAAUAUCUUCUAAUGAAGUCCUUCCCAGUACUCCUUUUUCUUAGUUCGUCAAUAAAGGAUGCAGUGUGAUCAUA